UACGGAGGGUGCAAGCGUUAUCCGGAUUUAUUGGGUUUAAAGGGUCCGUAGGCGGAUUAUUAAGUCAGUGGUGAAAGCCUGCAGCUCAACUGUAGAACUGCCAUUGAUACUGAUAAUCUUGAGUGUAACUGGAGUAGGCGGAAUAUGUCAUGUAGCGGUGAAAUGCUUAGAUAUGACAUAGAACACCAAUCGCGAAGGCGGCUUACUAAGUUAUUACUGACGCUGAGGGACGAAAGCGUGGGGAGCGAACAGG
rnacentral:rRNA from 1 species